rfam:Schistosoma mattheei strain Denwood, Zambia genome assembly, scaffold: SMTD_contig0010304
AUUCAGCUGAUGAGUUUCAAAUAGGACGAAAUGCACAUCCUGAAU